AUUGAACGCUGGCGGCAUGCCUUACACAUGCAAGUCGAACGGCAGCACGGGAGCAAUCCUGGUGGCGAGUGGCGAACGGGUGAGUAAUAUAUCGGAACGUGCCCAGUCGUGGGGGAUAACGUAGCGAAAGCUACGCUAAUACCGCAUACGAUCUACGGAUGAAAGCGGGGGAUCGCAAGACCUCGCGCGAUUGGAGCGGCCGAUAUCAGAUUAGCUAGUUGGUGGGGUAAAAGCUCACCAAGGCGACGAUCUGUAGCUGGUCUGAGAGGACGACCAGCCACACUGGAACUGAGACACGGUCCAAACUCCUACGGGAGGCAGCAGUGGGGAAUUUUGGACAAUGGGCGCAAGCCUGAUCCAGCAAUGCCGCGUGCAGGAUGAAGGCCUUCGGGUUGUAAACUGCUUUUGUACGGAACGAAACGGUGAGCUCUAAUAAAGCUUGCUAAUGACGGUACCGUAAGAAUAAGCACCGGCUAACUACGUG
rnacentral:rRNA from 1 species